ensembl:lncRNA
GUCUCAAGGUGCACUAAAUCAUUGCGUUUCUGGUUCCAGAAGAGUGCAGUUGGAUAUUUUCUCUGGAAAGUAUCUGCGAUAUUUGUCCUUUACAGACGGAGCAAUUAGGGGUUAGGUGUCUUGCUCAAGGACACUUCGACAUGGAACAUGGAGCAGCCGGGACUUGAACCACCAACCUUGCAGUUCCUGGCGGUUAGGGUUAGGAGCACCCUCUCUACUCAAUGCGCCACGGUCGACCCCCUUUUUCAAGACUACACCCCUUUUCAGGGCUGACCAACAGUCUUUUUCAAGACUACACCCCUUUUAAGAGCUGACCAACAGUCUUUUUCAAGACUACACCCCUUUUCAGGGCUGACCAACAGUCUUUUUCAAGACUACACCCCUUUUAAGAGCUGACCAACAGUCUUUUUCAAGACUACACCCCUUUUCAGGGCUGACCAACAGUCUUUUUCAAGACUACACCCCUUUUUAGAGCUGACCAACAGUCUUUUUCAAGACUACACCCCUUUUCAGGGCUGACCAACAGUCUUUUUCAAGACUACACCCCUUUUCAGGGCUGACCAACAGUCUUUUUCAAGACUACACCCCUUUUAAGAGCUGACCAACAGUCUUUUUCAAGACUACACCCCUUUUCAGGGCUGACCAACAGUCUUUUUCAAGACUACACCCCUUUUAAGAGCUGACCAACAGUCUUUUUCAAGACUACACCCCUUUUAAGAGCUGACCAACAGUCUUUUUCAAGACUACACCCCUUUUCAGGGCUGACCAACAGUCUUUUUCAAGACUACACCCCUUUUAAGAGCUGACCAACAGUCUUUUUCAAGACUACACCCCUUUUCAGGGCUGACCAACAGUCUUUUUCAAGACUACACCCCUUUUAAGAGCUGACCAACAGUCUUUUUCAAGACUACACCCCUUUUCAGGGCUGACCAACAGUCUUUUUCAAGACUACACCCCUUUUUGGGGUUCAACUGUGGGUUUUCCCUCCAUCUAUGGGUUUCCCACGUAAAAAAAAAAAAAU